AAAACAAACAAAAAACGGUCCGUGUACAUUUGAGUGAAUUAGAAACCAAUGAUUUUAGAAAAAAAAACUUCAAACACAAACAUUUACCAGUUCAAAGAUAAACUUGUAUAAAAACGGAUUCAAGUUCAAAAUCACAUGAUUAACCUGUCUUCCGUAUAUUCGUGCUUUAAAGGUUCUAUUUAUCCUUCAUUUUAAUUUUAAUUCAAUAUUUACCCCCGCAUGUAUUUUAUUUUGAAGGAGCCGCAUCAAGCCGGAAGUGGUCACAUUUUACUCCCGCGCCAGUUUUGUGGAUCCGACUAUUUUCUGGGACCAAAGGGUUUGAAAAUGGGCUCGUUUUUACCUGCUGUGGCUGAACAGCUGCUCGCAGACAUCCAGAGGACAUACGAGGACACGGCUCACAUUCCUGACGACCUGCUCAUAGCGUUGACCUUCGUGCUGGGUUCGUGCGUCCUGCCGGCCUUGGACCUGGUGGACCGCCGCAGCGUGUCCCGCCUGUCGUCUCCCAGUGGACGCAGCGUCUUCCAGGUGGUGGGCGGUUCCGGUCGGGUCUACACCUGCCUCACUUCCUGUCACUUCUGUCCGUGUCCAUCCUUCGCCUAUGCCGUCCUUCACAGGGGCGGAGCUCUGAUGUGUAAACACCUCCUGGCUGUGUACCUGUCCCAGGCCAUGGGCGUCACCCAGCAGGACGCCGUCACCGACCAGCACAUGACAGCGCUGCUCAGCAGGGGAACACUCCCAUGAUGCUCAGCGGUGGUGUUGGUCCCAUGAUGCUCAGCUUUGGAGGCGGUCCCGUGAUGCUCAGCUUUGGAGGCGGUCCCAUGAUGCUCAGCGGUGGAGGCGGUCCCAUGAUGCUCGGAGGCGGUCCCAUGAUGCUCAGCGGUGGAGGCGGUCCCAUGAUGCUCAGCGGUGGAGGCGGUCCCAUGAUGCUCAGUGAACUGAAGGUCUGGACCCAAGCCACCUGGACCGGACCCAUCCGGACUGGACCGGAGCCACCCGGAUCGGACCCAUCCGGACCAGAGCCACCCGGACCGGACCCAUCCGGACCAGAGCCACCCGGACCGGAGCCACCCGGACCGGAGCCACCCAGACCAGACCGGA